ensembl:misc_RNA Metazoa_SRP Metazoan signal recognition particle RNA
GCCGGGCGUGUUGGCAGGCGCCUGUAGUCCCAGCUACUUGGGAGGCUGAGGCAGGAGAAUUGCUUGAACCUGGGAGGCGGAGGUUGCAGUGAGCCGAGAUCACACCACUGCACUCCAGCCUGGGUGACAGAGCAAGACUCUGUCUCAA